AUGGAUUAGCGGCGAACGGGUGAGGAACACGUGAAGAAUCUGCCCUCCACUUUGGGAUAACACCGGGAAACCGGUGCUGAUACCGAAUAUUGAAACAUAAGUGGCAUCACUGAGUUUUGAAAGAAUUUCGGUGGAGGAUGACUUCGCGGCCUAUCAGCUAGUUGGUGAGGUAAUGGCUCACCAAGGCAACGACGGGUAGCCGGCCUGAGAGGGCGACCGGCCACACUGGGACUGAGACACGACCCAGACUCCUACGGGAGGCAGCAGUGGGGAAUAUUGGGCAAUGGAGGAAACUCUGACCCAGCGACGCCGCGUGCGGGAUGAAGGCCUUCGGGUUGUAAACCGCUUUCAGUAGGGAAGAAGCGAAAGUGACGGUACCUACAAAAGAAGCACCGGCUAACUAUGUGCCAGCAGCCGCGGUAAUACAUAGGGUGCAAGCGUUGUCCGGAAUUAUUGGGCGUAAAGAGCUCGUAGGUCGUUUGUCACGUCGGAUGUGAAAACCUGAGGCU
rnacentral:rRNA from 1 species